rnacentral:rRNA from 1 species
GGGCGUAAAGCGUCCGCAGGCGGUUAUUUAAGUCUGCUGCUAAAGCCCACAGCUCAACUGUGGAUCGGCAGUGGAAACUGAAUAACUUGAGAGCGCUAGGGGUAGAGGGAAUCCCCGGUGUAGCGGUGAAAUGCGUAGAUAUCGGGAAGAACACCAGUGGCGAAGGCGCUCUACUGGGCCGCGACUGACGCUGAGGGACGAAAGCUAGGGGAGCGAAAGGGAUUAGAUACCCCUGUAGUCCUAGCUGUAAACGAUGGACACUAGGUGUUGGACGUAUCGACCCGUUCAGUACCGUAGCUAACGCGUUAAGUGUCCCGCCUGGGGAGUACGCACGCAAGUGUGAAACUCAAAGGAAUUGACGGGGGCCCGCACAAGCGGUGGAGGAUGUGGUUUAAUUCGAUGCAACGCGAAGAACCUUACCAGGGCUUGACAUCCUGCGAACCUUUGGGAAACCAAAGGGUGCCUUCGGGAACGCAGAGACAGGUGGUGCAUGGCUGUCGUCAGCUCGUGUCGUGAGAUGUUGGGUUCAGUCCCGCAACGAGCGCAACCCUCGUCCUUAGUUGCCAUCAUUGAGUUGGGCACUCUAGGGAGACUGCCGGGGACAACUCGGAGGAAGGUGGGGACGACGUCAAGUCAUCAUGCCCCUUACGUCCUGGGCUACACACGUCCUACAAUGCUGCGGACAGAGGGCAGCCAGCUCGCGAGAGUUCGCAAAUCCCAUAAACCGCGGCCCAGUUCAGAUUGCAGGCUGCAACUCGCCUGCAUGAAGGCGGAAUCGCUAGUAAUCGCAGGUCAGCAUACUGCGGUGAUACGUUCCCGGGCCUUGUACACACCGCCCGUCACACCAUGGGAGUUGGCCACGCCCGAAGUCGUUACUCUAACCUUAGGGAGGAGGGCGCCGAAGGCAGGGCUGAUGACUGGGGUGAAGUC